GUGUAAGAUAAGAUGGUGGCAUCAGAUGUGUGUUCUGACUUGUGGCUGCUUACUAGAUGGAUACAUGCAGCUAGCUAGCAACCUAGUAGUACUAGUAAGAAUAUAUGUGUUUAAUUCUCUCCCUAUACCUUGUGAUUGAUUCUAGGUAUAUACAGAUGCCAUCUCUGUCUGGCAACAUAUGGACCUGAUUACAUUCAGGUGCUCAUUGAGCUGUCUAAGAACAAGUAGAUCAUCAUUUCACCAUCUUCGGCCGCCCCAGGAUGCUGGCCUUCAUUCUUCAAAAGUUGGGUGUACAGGAGCUCUAGGAAGAAGAAUCCCGAAGAAAAACCACACCCAGCAAUGCGUUUUUAGCUCACUGGAGAUAGUUAUGUGUGAAGCUAGUUAUGUGUGUAUUUAGUUUUAUUUUAUAGCUAAAUACUAGAUUUGUACUAUGUACUUUGCUUGGCUGUUGUAAUGUAAUCUCAGUUUUGGGUGUACAUGAUUGUAAUGUACUUUGCUUGGCUGUUGUAUGAAAUAUU